AACGAACGCUGGCGGCAGGCCUAACACAUGCAAGUCGAGCGAGGACUUCGGUCCUAGCGGCGGACGGGUGAGUAACGCGUGGGAACGUGCCCUUUGCUUCGGAAUAGCCCUGGGAAACUGGGAGUAAUACCGGAUGAGCCCUUUGGGGGAAAGAUUUAUCGGCGAAGGAUCGGCCCGCGUUGGAUUAGGUAGUUGGUGGGGUAAUGGCCUACCAAGCCGACGAUCCAUAGCUGGUUUGAGAGGAUGAUCAGCCAAACUGGAACUGAGAAACGGCCCAAACUCCAACGGAAGGCGAAGUUGGGAAGUUUUAGCAAAGGGGGAAACCCUGAUCUAGCCAUGCCGCGUGAGCGAUGAAGGCCUUAGGGUUGUAAAGCUCUUUCAGCUGGGAAGAUAAUGACGGUACCAGCAGAAGAAGCCCCGGCUAACUCCGUG
rnacentral:rRNA from 1 species